rnacentral:rRNA from 1 species
CGGGAAACUGAGGAUAAUGUUUCAUGGCUGAAUUGGCUUGGAAAAGUUUUUCAGCAAAAGGGAUAAGAAAAAUGGUUUUUGUCUGCUAUAGGAUAGGAUCGUGUUCGAUUAUGGUUGUUGGUGAGGUAAUGGCUCACCAAGCCGAUAAUCGAUAGGGGCCGUGAGAGCGGGAGCCCCGAGAUGGGUACUGAGACAACGACCCAGGCCUUACGAGGCGCAGCAGGCGCGAGACCUCCACAAUACACGAAAGUGUGAUGGGGUUACCCAAAGUGUUCAACUUUGAACUGUGGUAGGUGAGUAAUGUUCCCUACUAGAAAGGAGAGGGCAAGGCUGGUGCCAGCCGCCGCGGUAAAACCAGCUCUUCAAGUGGUCGGGAUAAUUAUUGGGCUUAAAGUGUCCGUAGCCGGUUUAGUAAGUUCCUGGUAAAAUCGGGUAGCUUAACUAUCUAUAUGCUAGGAAUACUGCUAUACUAGAGGGCGGGAGAGGUCUGAGGUACUACAGGGGUAGGGGUGAAAUCUU